rnacentral:misc_RNA from 1 species
CCAGAAUUCUGGUUUUAUGUACAGAUUGGACAUGUCCAUUUUUCAUGCCAAACAACACUAAGUUGCUAGUCUAGAAUUAAGUCAACUAUAUUACAUAAUGAAAAUGGUCCACAUUUCUCAAAAACAUUACUUAUCUAGCUUCCUUCUGAGUUGCGUGAAACUAGCGAGGCCUUGACGUCAAACCAAGAGGGAUUGCAUUUGAUCCCGAAACCAUUGAUCGAUUACCAAAGCUGCCUCUGUGUCCUUGAGGGCGGAAUUUAGUGCCAGAACCUCCAAAGCCACUAUACGAGGCUAAAGCAGACAAUGCAGGGGUGACAAUCUGCCCUGCUUCUCGGAGUAUCUUUAUAAGAUCUCUGGCGUGUUUCGCAUUCUCAUGAGUAAAGAAUGUGAAUGCAGUUCCCUUUGCACCAGCACGACCUGUUCGGCCUAUCCUGUGGACGUAGUCCUCGAGGCUUGAUGGGAAAUCAUAGUUGAUCACACAUUUUAUAUCUUUCACAUCUUAACUUUACAGGGAUAAGUAGCAG